GAGUCUGUCGGUACACCUGUGCAUCAGUGUACUUGACGGCAUCAUCGUGACUCUACCAGGAGCCGUGUCAGUGUGACUAUGAGCACAGUGCGAGACAUGUACAGAAGACGGAGGAGGCUAAAGAGCUGAUGCCAUCAAGAACCAUAUGUAUGGAUUGGGGUUAGAGCAAUGGAUUUCAAAAUACGGUCAGUACUAGAGGAUUCGACGAUGUGGGAGAGCUUCCUUCGGAUGCCAGUCUGUUUGUAUCACAGAAGACCAUGUGAUCCGACUGUAGCUGCUUCAUCUAGGGAUGCAGAGAAUAUAGUGUUGUGGAAAGGGAAGGGUAAUAAUAGGACAGAAACAUCUUCUGCAAGCCU